AACGAACGCUGGCGGCAUGCCUAACACAUGCAAGUCGAACGAUGCUUUCGGGCAUAGUGGCGCACGGGUGCGUAACGCGUGGGAAUCUGCCCUUAGGUUCGGAAUAACAGUUAGAAAUGACUGCUAAUACCGGAUGAUGACGUUAAGUCCAAAGAUUUAUCGCCUGAGGAUGAGCCCGCGUAGGAUUAGCUAGUUGGUGUGGUAAAGGCGCACCAAGGCGACGAUCCUUAGCUGGUCUGAGAGGAUGAUCAGCCACACUGGGACUGAGACACGGCCCAGACUCCUACGGGAGGCAGCAGUGGGGAAUAUUUCGCAAUGGGCGAAAGCCUGACGAAGCGACGCCGCGUGAUCGAUGAAGCCCGUAAGGGCGUAAAGAUCUUUUCUGGGGGAAUACUUCCGAAUGUACCCUAGGAAUAAGCACCGGCAAACCUCGUGCCAGCAGCCGCAGUAACAC
rnacentral:rRNA from 1 species